UAGGGAAUAUUGCACAAUGGGGGAAACCCUGAUGCAGCGACGCCGCGUGAGUGAUGAAGGCCUUCGGGUCGUAAAGCUCUGUCGUAUGGGACUAACAAAAUGAAGGUACCAUGCAAGAAAGGAUCGGCUAACUUCGUGCCAGCAGCCGCGGUAAGACGAGGGAUCCUAGCGUUGUUCGGAAUCAUUGGGCGUAAAGCGGGUGUAGGCGGACUUUUAAGUCAGGUGUGAAAUCCUGGGGCUCAACCCCAGAACUGCCUUUGAUACUGGCUGUCUCGAGGUCGAGAGAGGUUGGUGGAAUUCCUAGUGUAGAGGUGAAAUUCGUAGAUAUUAGGAAGAACACCAGUGGCGAAGGCGGCCAACUGGCUCGAUACUGACGCUGAGGUGCGAAAGCGUGGGGAGCAAACAGGAUUAGAUACCCCAGUAGUCCCUGAGCGGGCUGGCAAGGCGCAU
rnacentral:rRNA from 1 species